rnacentral:rRNA from 1 species
GAUGAACGCUGGCGGCGUGCUUAACACAUGCAAGUCGAACGAGAAGUGAAGACGGAAACCUUCGGGCGGAAGGCUUUAUUUCGAGUGGCGGACGGGUGAGUAACGCGUGGGUAACCUGCCUCAUACAGGGGGAUAACAGUUGGAAACGACUGUUAAUACCGCAUAAGACCACAGCACCGCAUGGUGCGGGGGUAAAAACUCCGGUGGUAUGAGAUGGACCCGCGUUCGAUUAGCCAGUUGGCGGGGUAACGGCCCACCAAAGCGACGAUCGAUAGCCGAUCUGAGAGGAUGACCGGCCACAUUGGGACUGAGACACGGCCCAAACUCCUACGGGAGGCAGCAGUGGGGAAUAUUGCACAAUGGGGGAAACCCUGAUGCAGCGACGCCGCGUGAGUGAAGAAGUAUUUCGGUAUGUAAAGCUCUAUCAGCAGGGAAGAAAAUGACGGUACCUGAGUAAGAAGCCCUGGCUAACUACGUG